UACGUAGGGGGCAAGCGUUGUCCGGAAUCAUUGGGCGUAAAGAGCGUGUAGGUGGCUCGGUAAGUCCGCUGUGAAAGUCCAGGGCUCAACCCUGGAAUGCCGGUGGAAACUGUCGAGCUAGAGUCCGGAAGAGGCGAGUGGAAUUCCUGGCGUAGCGGUGAAAUGCGCAGAUAUCAGGAGGAACACCAAUGGCGAAGGCAGCUCGCUGGGACGGUACUGACACUGAGACGCGAAAGCGUGGGGAGCAAACAGG
rnacentral:rRNA from 1 species